rnacentral:lncRNA from 1 species
CUAGGUGCCGAUUUGGUUUUAUUCAUGUCGUCAACAAUGACUACAAUCACUGGUUCCUGUAUGCCAUUGGCGGCACCAGCAACCCUACAAUUAUCAGCCAGGGAAAUAGGUAUUCAGCGCCAGGCUUUGGGGCUAAAGAGGUGACCUGUAGGGGCCUCUUAAAGCCGGGACAGUGGAAGAAUUGGAAUUGGGUAUCACAAGGUGACCACUUCGAGAACGGUGCCUUCUUUACACCAUCAGGUAAUCCAAGUGCCAGCAAGCAAUUUGGCGCCGACAAAAUGAUGCCUUUCAAACCUGGUCAAAUGGUCCCCGAGCUCACAAAGUAUGCCGGACCACUAAGCUGCACAAUCGGCCGUCCUUGCUAAAAAUGCUAUUUUUAUAUGCAUUUGUCCUCCCUUUUUUACGUACAAUAUUUGAUACCCAAGCAUAGUACAUUUGGUAUCUUUUCUGAAUGAUUGUCAGUAAAUUUUCUUUUAUGCGAUCCCACCCUAUUCUCUUCUUCUCUCCUAGUAAUAGAUAAUCACAAUUUUUUUCUCACGCGUGACUGUGGAAAUCAUAAAUUUAGAACAUAAAUGUUUGUUUGAAAAUAACAUAUAAUGAAUAAUGAAAUGUGUGGUUUGAAAUAAAGUAACAAUAAUAACAUUGAUUAUCAUGGUGUUUUCAUCAAUCUUUAGUUGGUGUAGGCACCAAAUCAAUCAAAUACAUUAAUCUAACAUAUCUAGUAUAUAUAUUCUAUUGCAAGGUUUUUUUGGAUUUGUGGAAACCUUCAGUUUGAAGUGAGUUUAGAAUUCGCUAUGCGUCACCAAUCAUUUCAUGACAGCAAUGGAAAUUAAUGAAAUAAAAUAUUUGGUUAGAACUAAAGUUGCGUAAUUAAUUAAAAAUUUUAACAAUCGCGAGACCAUUUAGUUUCUAUAAAUUUUGCAUGUCCCAACUUACAUAUUCGGGUAAUUAGUCAUUUGUCAAAACACAUCAAAGUGAGAAAAGAAAGAAACAAGAAUCAUGGUCAUUCCUCAUAUAGUUAUAUUCGUAAUAAUGCAAUCGCAACGGUGAUUCCACCAGGUGUUCUUGCAUCACCAAGAACUAAAUUGAUUUUCUAGAACAAGAUUUAUAAUGGAGACAUCAAGUAUGUAUUUAAGGUGGUGUAUGAGUUAGAUUUCUUUAAGACUCAGCGGGGGUCGGGGAGCCGCCCAAGACAUUGCUUUUACCAGUAUAAAGUCAAAUACCGAAGCAAAAAAACUUGCAAAGCCGAGAGGACAUAGGAUUAAUAAUUCAGCACCUAUGUUUUGAGUUGCUCCAUAGUUGACGCGUGGUAUCAGCUUAGUAAGGGCUUAAAUAAUCGUAUAGAUAUUUAUAAUUGAUGGACAUAAUAAAGUAUGCUUAACAAAUUUGAAAAUCAAAAAAGAAAAUCAAUGUCUUGGUACAGUGUUAAAUUUAUGGUUUUACUAGCAUAAUAAUUGAUUUGGGUUCAAAUCCCUUCGACAACAUAUUUUAUAUUCUUUUAAAACAAUAAGAAUUAAAAUAACCUUCAAUAAUAUAACUUAUUUUAAACAUGACAGGAAUGUAUUUCUAAUUUCCGUAAUAGAGUCGAUGCUCGAUCGACUCAUGUCACCGAAUUAGUUAAGGACUUCAAUAAAUGUUAGUAUAGAUUGUAACAAUAAUGAAAUAUGCAUUAAAAAUCACCACAGAGGUUCAAUAUACACUCGAAUCUCUGUACUCUUUUAGACUUUUAAAAUUUGAAUACAUAGUGCUUUUAUAUUCAAAGGUCCAAGUAAUAAAUUAGAGUCCAAUUCAUAUCACAUAUUCAGAUUUGAGAGAAAUAAAUAAACUCUCUUACCAAUUGAACUUUUAUUUUUUAAAUCAACCAAGUGCAAGGAUUAAAAUCUUGAAAUUGAAAGGAGAGAGGUUUCAUCUGGAAAUGUUGAAGAGUAAAGGGAUUGGAGGAUAAUUAGAGAUUUUUUUUGUAAUUUCUGAAAUUAGACGUUUAGAAUGGUCUAAAAAAUGCAAGAAAACCUCAACUGUUUCUAUCCAAAAAAAAGGAAACAAAAUCCAACCAUUUUUUACGCACUUGAAACACUAGUAGCCAAGUGUGUUUUGUAAAUUUGGAAAUUUUCAUGAAUCCCGGUGUACUAUAAAUAGUGACAUAAUGAUGGUGUUCCAAGCAAAUCAUGCUCGAGUUCAAGUUUUUGGUGCCGUAGCUUGUCUCUCCUGUCCUAUUAGGGUCCUGUUUGCAUCCAACCAGUUGUUUCCAAGAGCUAGGCUUUGAUACUUAAAAUAAGAACCACUAUGGGUAUUUCUAGUUAUAGUUUCUUUCUGUUUUUAUUUGUUGUCAUAAUCCCAACCCUAGAAGCUCAUAUCGCUGAGUAUGACGAGUACUGGACGGCACGAGAAUUGGAAGCCAUUGAGAACCUGGACAAGGCCUAUCACUCCAACCCGGAGGAGGUGGUCCGCCAUUACAAUGACCACUUCUCUAGGACCAUGCUCGAGUUUUAUAUCACCAAAAGGGUGUUGGCAGAAUCAAAAAAGGGUCCCUGUGAGGUUACCAACCACGUUGACAGUUGCUGGCGAUGUGAUCCUGACUGGGAAAAGAAUAGGAAGAAGUUGGCCAACUGUGCCCCUGGAUUUGCUCGAGGUACUACCGGUGGAAAGGAUGGUGAGUUUUACGUGGUCACUGACCCUAUUGAUAAUGCUGCUGACCCCAAGCCUGGAACUCUGCGUCAUGCUGUCACCCAAACUGGACCACUUUGGAUCACUUUCAAAGGGUCCAUGACCAUCAAGCUGCAACAGGAGCUCAUUGUUACAAGUGAUAAGACCAUUGAUGCGAGGGGAGCCAAUGUGGAAAUUUGUAAUGGUGCUGGUAUCACUAUCCAAUUUGUGAAGAAUAUCAUUAUCCAUGGCCUUCAAAUCCAUCACAUUAUUCCCGCCAAGGGUGGCAAGAUCAAGGAUGGUGAAAACCACCAUGGGUUACGGGGUGACAGCGACGGAGACGGGGUGUCUAUUUUUGGAUCAACCAAUGUUUGGCUUGACCAUCUUGCCCUUCACCAUUGCGCCGAUGGCCUUAUCGAUGUCGUUCAAGGAUCAACUGCCGUUACCGUUUCUAACUGCCACUUCACUGACCAUAACGAUGUAAGCUUACUUUCCUUUCAAUUUUAAACUACGCACGAUGAGGAAUUUUUUGAUUGACAAAAAUAAUACAAUUGAAAUGAAAAAAAUUACAGGUGAUGUUGUUUGGAGCAAGCGACUCUUACAGUGCCGACAAGAAGAUGCAGGUCACUGUUGCUUUGAACCACUUCGGUAAAGGAUUGGUAGAGAGGAUGCCUAGGUGCCGAUUUGGUUUUAUUCAUGUCGUCAACAAUGACUACAAUCACUGGUUCCUGUAUGCCAUUGGCGGCACCAGCAACCCUACAAUUAUCAGCCAGGGAAAUAGGUAUUCAGCGCCAGGCUUUGGGGCUAAAGAGGUGACCUGUAGGGGCCUCUUAAAGCCGGGACAGUGGAAGAAUUGGAAUUGGGUAUCACAAGGUGACCACUUCGAGAACGGUGCCUUCUUUACACCAUCAGGUAAUCCAAGUGCCAGCAAGCAAUUUGGCGCCGACAAAAUGAUGCCUUUCAAACCUGGUCAAAUGGUCCCCGAGCUCACAAAGUAUGCCGGACCACUAAGCUGCACAAUCGGCCGUCCUUGCUAAAAAUGCUAUUUUUAUAUGCAUUUGUCCUCCCUUUUUUACGUACAAUAUUUGAUACCCAAGCAUAGUACAUUUGGUAUCUUUUCUGAAUGAUUGUCAGUAAAUUUUCUUUUAUGCGAUCCCACCCUAUUCUCUUCUUCUCUCCUAGUAAUAGAUAAUCACAAUUUUUUUCUCACGCGUGACUGUGGAAAUCAUAAAUUUAGAACAUAAAUGUUUGUUUGAAAAUAACAUAUAAUGAAUAAUGAAAUGUGUGGUUUGAAAUAAAGUAACAAUAAUAACAUUGAUUAUCAUGGUGUUUUCAUCAAUCUUUAGUUGGUGUAGGCACCAAAUCAAUCAAAUACAUUAAUCUAACAUAUCUAGUAUAUAUUCUAUUGCAAGGUUAUUUUGGAUUUGUGGAAACCUUCAGUUUGAAGUGAGUUUAGAAUUCGCUAUGCGUCACCAAUCAUUUCAUGACAGCAAUGGAAAUUAAUGAAAUAAAAUAUUUGGUUAGAACUAAAGUUGCGUAAUUAAUUAAAAAUUUUAACAAUCGCGAGACCAUUUAGUUUCUAUAAAUUUUGCAUGUCCCAACUUACAUAUUCGGGUAAUUAGUCAUUUGUCAAAACACAUCAAAGUGAGAAAAGAAAGAAACAAGAAUCAUGGUCAUUCCUCUAUAGUUAUAUUCGUAAUAAUGCAAUCGCAACGGUGAUUCCACCAGGUGUUCUUGCAUCACCAAGAACUAAAUUGAUUUUCUAGAACAAGAUUUAUAAUGGAGACAUCAAGUAUGUAUUUAAGGUGGUGUAUGAGUUAGAUUUCUUUAAGACUCAGCGGGGGUCGGGGAGCCGCCCAAGACAUUGCUUUUACCAGUAUAAAGUCAAAUACCGAAGCAAAAAAACUUGCAAAGCCGAGAGGACAUAGGAUUAAUAAUUCAGCACCUAUGUUUUGAGUUGCUCCAUAGUUGACGCGUGGUAUCAGCUUAGUAAGGGCUUAAAUAAUCGUAUAGAUAUUUAUAAUUGAUGGACAUAAUAAAGUAUGCUUAACAAAUUUGAAAAUCAAAAAAGAAAAUCAAUGUCUUGGUACAGUGUUAAAUUUAUGGUUUUACUAGCAUAAUAAUUGAUUUGGGUUCAAAUCCCUUCGACAACAUAUUUUAUAUUCUUUUAAAACAAUAAGAAUUAAAAUAACCUUCAAUAAUAUAACUUAUUUUAAACAUGACAGGAAUGUAUUUCUAAUUUCCGUAAUAGAGUCGAUGCUCGAUCGACUCAUGUCACCGAAUUAGUUAAGGACUUCAAUAAAUGUUAGUAUAGAUUGUAACAAUAAUGAAAUAUGCAUUAAAAAUCACCACAGAGGUUCAAUAUACACUCGAAUCUCUGUACUCUUUUAGACUUUUAAAAUUUGAAUACAUAGUGCUUUUAUAUUCAAAGGUCCAAGUAAUAAAUUAGAGUCCAAUUCAUAUCACAUAUUCAGAUUUGAGAGAAAUAAAUAAACUCUCUUACCAAUUGAACUUUUAUUUUUUAAAUCAACCAAGUGCAAGGAUUAAAAUCUUGAAAUUGAAAGGAGAGAGGUUUCAUCUGGAAAUGUUGAAGAGUAAAGGGAUUGGAGGAUAAUUAGAGAUUUUUUUUUGUAAUUUCUGAAAUUAGACGUUUAGAAUGGUCUAAAAAAUACAAGAAAACCUCAACUGUUUCUAUCCAAAAAAAAGGAAACAAAAUCCAACCAUUUUUUACGCACUUGAAACACUAGUAGCCAAGUGUGUUUUGUAAAUUUGGAAAUUUUCAUGAAUCCCGGUGUACUAUAAAUAGUGACAUAAUGAUGGUGUUCCAAGCAAAUCAUGCUCGAGUUCAAGUUUUUGGUGCCGUAGCUUGUCUCUCCUGUCCUAUUAGGGUCCUGUUUGCAUCCAACCAGUUGUUUCCAAGAGCUAGGCUUUGAUACUUAAAAUAAGAACCACUAUGGGUAUUUCUAGUUAUAGUUUCUUUCUGUUUUUAUUUGUUGUCAUAAUCCCAAACCUAGAAGCUCAUAUCGCUGAGUAUGACGAGUACUGGACGGCACGAGAAUUGGAAGCCAUUGAGAACCUGGACAAGGCCUAUCACUCCAACCCGGAGGAGGUGGUCCGCCAUUACAAUGACCACUUCUCUAGGACCAUGCUCGAGUUUUAUAUCACCAAAAGGGUGUUGGCAGAAUCAAAAAAGGGUCCCUGUGAGGUUACCAACCACGUUGACAGUUGCUGGCGAUGUGAUCCUGACUGGGAAAAGAAUAGGAAGAAGUUGGCCAACUGUGCCCCUGGAUUUGCUCGAGGUACUACCGGUGGAAAGGAUGGUGAGUUUUACGUGGUCACUGACCCUAUUGAUAAUGCUGCUGACCCCAAGCCUGGAACUCUGCGUCAUGCUGUCACCCAAACUGGACCACUUUGGAUCACUUUCAAAGGGUCCAUGACCAUCAAGCUGCAACAGGAGCUCAUUGUUACAAGUGAUAAGACCAUUGAUGCGAGGGGAGCCAAUGUGGAAAUUUGUAAUGGUGCUGGUAUCACUAUCCAAUUUGUGAAGAAUAUCAUUAUCCAUGGCCUUCAAAUCCAUCACAUUAUUCCCGCCAAGGGUGGCAAGAUCAAGGAUGGUGAAAACCACCAUGGGUUACGGGGUGACAGCGACGGAGACGGGGUGUCUAUUUUUGGAUCAACCAAUGUUUGGCUUGACCAUCUUGCCCUUCACCAUUGCGCCGAUGGCCUUAUCGAUGUCGUUCAAGGAUCAACUGCCGUUACCGUUUCUAACUGCCACUUCACUGACCAUAACGAUGUAAGCUUACUUUCCUUUCAAUUUUAAACUACGCACGAUGAGGAAUUUUUUGAUUGACAAAAAUAAUACAAUUGAAAUGAAAAAAAUUACAGGUGAUGUUGUUUGGAGCAAGCGACUCUUACAGUGCCGACAAGAAGAUGCAGGUCACUGUUGCUUUGAACCACUUCGGUAAAGGAUUGGUAGAGAGGAUGCCUAGGUGUCCGAUUUGGUUUUAUUCAUGUCGUCAACAAUGACUACAAUCACUGGUUCCUGUAUGCCAUUGGCGGCACCAGCAACCCUACAAUUAUCAGCCAGGGAAAUAGGUAUUCAGCGCCAGGCUUUGGGGCUAAAGAGGUGACCUGUAGGGGCCUCUUAAAGCCGGGACAGUGGAAGAAUUGGAAUUGGGUAUCACAAGGUGACCACUUCGAGAACGGUGCCUUCUUUACACCAUCAGGUAAUCCAAGUGCCAGCAAGCAAUUUGGCGCCGACAAAAUGAUGCCUUUCAAACCUGGUCAAAUGGUCCCCGAGCUCACAAAGUAUGCCGGACCACUAAGCUGCACAAUCGGCCGUCCUUGCUAAAAAUGCUAUUUUUAUAUGCAUUUGUCCUCCCUUUUUUACGUACAAUAUUUGAUACCCAAGCAUAGUACAUUUGGUAUCUUUUCUGAAUGAUUGUCAGUAAAUUUUCUUUUAUGCGAUCCCACCCUAUUCUCUUCUCCUCUCCUACUAAUAGAUAAUCACAAUUUUUUUCGAACGCGUAACUGUGGAAGUCAGAAAUUUUUAACAUAAAUGUUUGUUUGAAAAUAACAUAUAAUGAAUAAUGAAAUGUGUGGUUUGAAAUAAAGUAACAAUAAUAACAUUGAUUAUCAUGGUGUUUUCCUCAAUCUUUAGUUGGUGUAGGCACCAAAUCAAUCAAAUACAUUAAUCUAACAUAUCUAGUAUAUAUAUUCUAUUGCAAGGUUAUUUUGGAUUUGUGGAAACCUUCAGUUUGAAGUGAGUUUAGAAUUCGCUAUGCGUCACCAAUCAUUUCAUGACAGGAAUGGAAAUUAAUGAAAUAAAAUAUUUGGUUAGAACUAAAGUUGCGUAAUUAAUUAAAAAUUUUAACAAUCGCGAGACCAUUUAGUUUCUAUAAAUUUUGUAUGUCCCGACUUACAUAUUCGGGUAAUUAGUCAUUUGUCAAAACACAUCAAAGUGAGAAAAGAAAAAAACAAGAAUCAUGAGCAUUCCUCAUAUAGUAAUAUUCAUAAUAAUGCAAUCGCAACGGUGAUUCCACCAGGUGUUCUUGCAUCACCAAGAACUAAAUUGAUUUUCUAGAACAACAUUUAUAAUGGAGACAUCAAGUAUGUAUUUAAGGUGGUGUAUGAGUUUGAUUUCUUUAAGACUCGGCGGGGGUCGGGGAGCCGCCCAAGACAUUGCUUUUACCAGUAUAAAGUCAAAUACUGAAGCAAAAAAACUUGCAAAGCCGAGAGGACAUAGGAUUAAUAAUUCAGCAUCUAUGUUUUGAGUUGUUCCAUAGUUGACGCGUGGUAUCAGCUUAGUAAGGGCUUAAAUAAUCGUAGAGACAUUUAUAAUUGAUGGACAUAAUUAAGUAUGCGUAACAAAUUUGAAAUUCAUAAAAGAAAAUCAAUGCUUUGGUACAGUGUUAAAUUUAAGGUUUUACUAGCAUAAUAAUUUAAGUCACCACAGAGGUUCAAUAUACACUCGAAUCUCUGUACUCUUUUAGACUUUUAAAAUUUGAAUACAUAGUGCUUUUAUAUUCAAAGGUCCAAGUAAUAAAUUAGAGUCCAAUUCAUAUCACAUAUUCAGAUUUGAGAGAAAUAAAUAAACUCUCUUACCAAUUGAACUUUUAUUUUUUAAAUCAACCAAGUGCAAGGAUUAAAAUCUUGAAAUUGAAAGGAGAGAGGUUUCAUCUGGAAAUGUUGAAGAGUAAAGGGAUUGGAGGAUAAUUAGAGAUUUUUUUUUGUAAUUUCUGAAAUUAGACGUUUAGAAUGGUCUAAAAAAUACAAGAAAACCUCAACUGUUUCUAUCCAAAAAAAAGGAAACAAAAUCAACCAUUUUUUACGCACUUGAAACACUAGUAGCCAAGUGUGUUUUGUAAAUUUGGAAAUUUUCAUGAAUCCCGGUGUACUAUAAAUAGUGACAUAAUGAUGGUGUUUCCAAGCAAAUCAUGCUCGAGUUCAAGUUUUUGGUGCCGUAGCUUGUCUCUCCUGUCCUAUUAGGGUCCUGUUUGCAUCCAACCAGUUGUUUCCAAGAGCUAGGCUUGAUACUUAAAAUAAGAACCACUAUGGGUAUUUCUAGUUAUAGUUUCUUUCUGUUUUUAUUUGUUGUCAUAAUCCCAAACCUAGAAGCUCAUAUCGCUGAGUAUGACGAGUACUGGACGGCACGAGAAUUGGAAGCCAUUGAGAACCUGGACAAGGCCUAUCACUCCAACCCGGAGGAGGUGGUCCGCCAUUACAAUGACCACUUCUCUAGGACCAUGCUCGAGUUUUAUAUCACCAAAAGGGUGUUGGCAGAAUCAAAAAAGGGUCCCUGUGAGGUUACCAACCACGUUGACAGUUGCUGGCGAUGUGAUCCUGACUGGGAAAAGAAUAGGAAGAAGUUGGCCAACUGUGCCCCUGGAUUUGCUCGAGGUACUACCGGUGGAAAGGAUGGUGAGUUUUACGUGGUCACUGACCCUAUUGAUAAUGCUGCUGACCCGAAUCCUAGAACUCUACGUCAUCUUGUCACCAAAAAUGGACCACUUUGGAUCAUUUUCAAAGGGCCCAUGACCAUCAAGCUGCAAGAGGAGCUCAUUGUUACAAGUGAUAAAACCAUUGAUGCGAGGGGAGCCAAUGCGGAAAUUUUUACUGGUACUGGUAUCACUAUCCAAUUUCCAAAGAACGUCAUUAUCCAUGGCCUUUAAGUCCAUCUCAUUAUUCCCGCUAAGGGUGGCAAGAUCAAGGAUGGUGAAAACCACCAUGGGUUACGAGGUGACAGCGACGGAGAUGGGGUCUCUCUUUACGGAGCAACCAAUGUUUGGCUCGACCAUCUUUCCCUUCACCAUUGCACCGAUGGCCUUAUCGAUCUCGUUCAAGGAUCAACUGCCGUUACCAUUUCUAGCUGCCACUUCACUGACCACAACGAUGUAAGCUUACUUUCCUUUGUAUUUUAAACUAGGCACGAUGAGGAAUUUUUUGAUUGACAAAAAUAAUACAAUUGAAAUGUAAAAAAUUACAGGUGAUGUUGUUUAGAGCAAGCGACUCCUACAGUGCCGACAAUAAGAUGCAGGUCACUGUUGCUUUGAACCACUUCGGUAAAGGAUUGGUAGAGAGGAUGCCUAGGUGGCGAUUUGGUUUUAUUCAUGUCGUCAACAAUGACUACAAUCACUGGUUCCUGUAUGCCAUUGGCGGCACCAGCAACCCUACAAUUAUUAGCCAGGGCAAUAGGUAUUCUACGCCAGUCACCUGUAGGGGCCUCUUAAAGCCAGCACAGUGGAAGAAUUGGAACUGGGUAUCACAAGGUGACCACUUUGAGAACGGUGCGUUUUUGCACCAUCCGGUAAUCCAAGUGCCAGCAAGUAAUUUGGUACUGACAAAAUGAUUCCUUUCAAACCCGGUCAAAUGGUCUUCGAACUCACAAAGUAUGCCGGACCACUCAACUGCACAAUCAGCCGUCCUUGCUAAAAAUGCUAUUUUAUAUGCAUGUGUCCUCUGUUUUACGUACAAUAUUUGAUACCCAAGCGUAGUACAUUUGGUAUCUUUUCUGAAUGAUUGUCAGUAAAUUUUCUGUUAUGUGAUUCCACCCUAUUCUCUUCUUCACUCCUACUAAUAGAUAAUUACAAUUUUUUUCACACGCGUAACUGUGCAAAUCAUAAAUUUAGAACAUAAAUGUUUGUUUGAAAAUAACAUAUAAUGAAUAAUGAAAUGUGUGGUUUGAAACAAAGUAACAAUAAUAACAUUGAUUAUCAUAGUGUUUUCAUCAAUCUUUAGUUGGUGUAGGCACCAAAUCAAUGAAAUACAUUAAUCUAACAUAUCUAGUAUAUAUAUUCUAUUGCAAGGUUUUUUUGGAUUUGUGGAAACCUUCAGUUUGAAGUGAGUUUAGAAUUUGGUAUGUGUCACCAAUCAUUUCUUGACGGGUAUGGAAAUUAAUGAAAUAAAAUAUAUGGUUAGAACUAAAGUUGCGUAUUUAAUUAAAAAUUCUAACAAUCGUGAGACCAUUUAGUUUCUAUAAAUUUUGUAUGUCCCAAUUUACAUAGUCGGGUACUCAGUCAUUUGUCAAAACACAUCAAAGUGAGAAAAGAAAGAAACAAGAAUCAUGAGCGUUCCUCAUAUAGUAAUAUUCCUAAUAAUGCAAUCACAACGGCGAUUCCACUCUGUGUUCUUUCAUCACCAUGAACUAAAUUGAUUUUUUACAACAACAUUUAUAAUCGAGACAUCAACUAUGCAUUUAAGGUGGUGUAUGAGUUAUAUUUCUUUAAGACUCAGUGAGGGUUGGGGAGUCGUCCAAGACAUUGCUUUUACCAGUAUAAAGUCAAAUACAAAAGCAAAAAAACUUGCAAAGCCGAGAGGACAUAGGAUUAAUAAUUCGGUAUCUAUGUUUUGAGUUGCUCCUUAGUUGACGCAUGGUAUCAGCUUAGUAAGGGCUUAAAUAAUCGUAUAGAUAUUUAUAAUUGAUGGAGGUAAUAAAGCAUGCGUAACAAAAUUGAAAUUCAUAAAAGAAAAUCAAUGUUUAGGUACAGUGUUAAAUUUAAGGUUUUAGUAGCAUAAUAAUUGAUGUGGGUUCAAAUCCCUUCGACAACAUAUUUUAUAUUCUUUUAAAGUAAUAAGAAUUAAAAUAACCUUCAAUAAUAUAACUUAUUUCAAACAUGAAAGGAAAGUAUUUCUAAUUUCUGUUAUAGAGUGAUGCUCGAUCGACUCAUGUCACCAAAUUAGUUAAGGACUUCUAUAAAAGUUAGUAUAGAUUGUAACGAUAAUGAAAUAUGCAUUAAAAAUGACCAUAGAGGUUCAAUUUCCCCUUGAAUCUCUAUACUCUUUUAGACUUUUAAAAUUUGAAUACAUAGUACUUUUAUAUUCACAAGUCCAAGUAAUAAAUUAGAGUCCAAUUCAUAUCACAUAUUCAGAUUUAAGAGAAAUCAAUAAACUCUCUUACCAAUUAAACUUAUUUUUUAAAUCAGCCAAUGGAAGGAAUAAAAUCUUGAAAUUGAAAGGAGAGAGGUUUCAUAUGGAAAUGUUGAAGAGUAAAGAGAUUGGAGGAUAAUUAGAGAAUUUAUUUUCUGUAAUUUCUAAAAUUAAAGGUUCAGAAUGGCGUAAAAAAGGCAAGAAAAACCUCAAUUGUUUCUAUCUAAAAAAAAAGGAAACAAAAUCCAAAAAUUUUUUACGCACUUGUCACACUAGUAGGCAAGUGUGUUUUGUAAAUUUGGUACUUUAAAUGAAUCUUGGUGUACGAUAAAUAGUGACAUAAUGAUGAUGUUCCAAGCAAAUCAUGCUUGAGUUCAAGUUUUUUGUGUUGUAGCUUGUCUCUCCUAUCCUAUUAGGGUCUUGUUUGCAACCAACCAAUUGUUUCUAAAAGCGAGGCUUUGAUACAUAAAAUAAGAACCACUAUGGGUAUUUCUAGUUAUAGUUAUAGUUUCUUUCUAUUUUCAUUUGUUGUCAUAAUCCCAACCCUAGAAGCUCAUAUCGCUGAAUAUGACGAGUACUGGAAGGCACGAGAAUUGGAAGCCAUUGAGAACCUGGACAAGGCCUAUCAUUCCAACCCGGAGGAGGUGGUCCGCCAUUACAAUGACCACUUCUCUAGGACCAUGCUUGAGUUUUAUAUCACCAAAAGGGUGUUGGCAGAAUCAAAAAAGGAUCCCUUUGAGGUUACCAACCACGUUGACAGUUGCUGGCGAUAUGAUCUUGACUGGGAAAAGAACAGGAAGAAGUUGGUCGACUGUGCCCCUGGUUUUGCUCGUGGUACUACUGGUGGAAAGGAUGGUGAGUUUUACGUUGUCCCUAACCCUAUUGAUAACGCUGCUGACCCCAAGCCUGGAACUCUACGUCAUGCUGUCACCCAAACUGAACCACUUUGGAUCACUUUCAAAGGGUCCAUGACAAUCAAGCUGCAACAAGAGCUCAUUGUUACAAGUGAUAAAACCAUUGAUGCAAGGGAAGCCAAUGUGGAAAUUUUUAAUGGUGCUGGUAUCACUAUCCAAUAUGCGAAGAACGUCACUAACCAUGGCCUUCAAAUCCAUCACAUUAUUCCCGCCAAUGGUGGCAAGAUCAAGGAUGGUGAAAACCACCAUGGGUUACGUGGUGACAGCGACGGAGAUGGAGUCUCUCUUUUUGGAGCAACCAACGUUUGGCUCAACCAUCUUUCCCUUCACCAUUACACUGAUGGCCUUAUCGAUGUCGUUUAAGGAUCAACUGCUGUUACCAUUUCUAACUACCACUUCACUGACCACAACACUGUAAGCUUACUUUCCUUUCUAUUUUAAACUAGGCACGAUGAGGAAUUUUUUGAAUGAAAAAAAUAGUACAAUUGAAAUGAAAACAAUUACAGGUGAUGUUGUUUGGAGCAAGCGACUCUUACAGAGCCGACAAGAAGAUGCAGGUCACUGUUGCUUUGAACCACUUCGGUAAAGGAUUGGUAGAGAGGAUGCCUAGGUGCCGAUUUGGUUUUAUUCAUGUCGUCAACAAUGACUACAAUCACUGGUUCCUGUAUGCCAUUGGCGGCACCAGCAACCCUACAAUUAUCAGCCAGGGAAAUAGGUAUUCUGCACCAGGUACCUUCGGGGCUAAGAAGGUGACCUGUAGCGGCCUCUUAAAUCCAUCACAGUGAAAGAAUUGGAACUGGGUAUCACAGGGUGACCACUUCGAGAAGGGUGCCUUUUUUACACCAUCCGGUAAUCCAAGUGCCAGCAAGCAAAUUGGUGCUGACAAAAUGAUGCCUUUCAAACCCGGUCAAAUGGUCCCCGAACUCACAAAGUAUGCCG